GGGAAAGAUCGUGCCUGCUAGAGGCCCUAACGAUUUUGGGUGGGAUCCUGUGUUCUAGCCAGAUGGUUUUGAACAAACAUAUGCUGAGAUGCCCAAGUCAGUGAAGAACGAAAUAUCUCACAGAGGGAAAGCUCUUGCUCUGGUGAAAGAACACUUCGCAUCUGCUAGCUAUACAGUUCAGAGCGACGACUCAGCUUAAAGUUUGACUUGGAUUCCUAGACGAAUGAACUGUCAUUCUGGAAUGUAAACUGAACUACUACUUUUA